rnacentral:ncRNA from 4 species
GGCAAGUUGUCCUUGGCUACA